rnacentral:piRNA from 1 species
UUCCCACUGAUCUAGUCAAACCA